rnacentral:rRNA from 1 species
GACGAACGCUGGCGGCGUGCCUAAUACAUGCAAGUCGAGCGAACAGAAGCAGCAGAAUUACUUCGGUAAGGACGCUGUGGAAGUUAGCGGCGGAUGGGUGAGUAACACGUGGGUAACCUACCCUUAAGACUGGGAUACCACUUGGAAACAGGUGCUAAUACCGGAUAGGAGUAUGAGCUGCAUGGCUUAUACUUUAAAGGCGGCGAAAGCUGUCACUAAAGGAUGGACCCGCGGUGCAUUAGCUAGUUGGUAAGGUAACGGCUUACCAAGGCGACGAUGCAUAGCCGAGUUGAGAGACUGAUCGGCCACAUUGGGACUGAGACACGGCCCAAACUCCUACGGGAGGCAGCAGUAGGGAAUCUUCCACAAUGGACGCAAGUCUGAUGGAGCAACGCCGCGUGAGUGAAGAAGGGUUUCGGCUCGUAAAGCUCUGUUGGUAGUGAAGAAAGAUAGAGGUAGUAACUGGCCUUUAUUUGACGGUAAUCAACCAGAAAGUCACGGCUAACUACGUGCCAGCAGCCGCGGUAAUACGUAGGUGGCAAGCGUUGUCCGGAUUUAUUGGGCGUAAAGCGAGCGCAGGCGGAUUGAUAAGUCUGAUGUGAAAGCCUUCGGCUCAACCGAAGAACUGCAUCAGAAACUGUCAAUCUUGAGUGCAGAAGAGGAGAGUGGAACUCCAUGUGUAGCGGUGGAAUGCGUAGAUAUAUGGAAGAACACCAGUGGCGAAGGCGGCUCUCUGGUCUGUAACUGACGCUGAGGCUCGAAAGCAUGGGUAGCGAACAGG